rnacentral:rRNA from 1 species
GAUGAACGCUGGCGGCGUGCCUAAUACAUGCAAGUCGAGCGAACAGACGAGGAGCUUGCUCCUCUGACGUUAGCGGCGGACGGGUGAGUAACACGUGGAUAACCUACCUAUAAGACUGGGAUAACUUCGGGAAACCGGAGCUAAUACCGGAUAAUAUAUUGAACCGCAUGGUUCAAUAGUGAAAGACGGUUUUGCUGUCACUUAUAGAUGGAUCCGCGCCGCAUUAGCUAGUUGGUAAGGUAACGGCUUACCAAGGCAACGAUGCGUAGCCGACCUGAGAGGGUGAUCGGCCACACUGGAACUGAGACACGGUCCAGACUCCUACGGGAGGCAGCAGUAGGGAAUCUUCCGCAAUGGGCGAAAGCCUGACGGAGCAACGCCGCGUGAGUGAUAAAGGUCUUCGGAUCGUAAAACUCUGUUAUUAGGGAAGAACUAAUGUGUAAGUAACUAUGCACGUCUUGACGGUACCUAAUCAGAAAGCCACGGCUAACUACGUG